rnacentral:lncRNA from 1 species
AUACUCCCUUGGGGGCGUCUCGUGACCGCACGCGGUGGGGAGCGUGUGACCCCGGCUCCAGGGCCGAAGGGGACCCGCUGGCCCUCACAGAGCGCCUUCGGGUAAAACGCGCUUUCACACGCAAAUAACUUCCAUCCAACCAUCUAAUAAAUACACAUUUGGAGUUUAUUUUGUAUCAGGCACUGCCAUAGCUACUUCCCUACUGAUGAACGAGAAGACGGUCCCUACCGUCCCCGUCAGGGAGGUGACCUAGAAACCAGAUAUUUAACGUAAGUAAGGAUUUCCAUCAUAGUUGUGAUGCUGCGAAGUAGUGCAGUAAGUAGCGAAGUAGCGAAGUAAGGUUUCCAAAGGAAGUGACUUUUAAUCUGAAACUCAGGGAUGAAUAGGAAUUGGCUAGAAGAGGGAAAGGAAGAGCCUUCCAGACAGAAGAAAUGCAUUUAUUGAAGGCCCUGAGAAGGCAGAGAGCUUGCAGAUUUGAGUAACUAACAGGCUAGGAGGUUCGAGGAGGGAUGGGGCCAUGUGAGCCCAGGCCGGCGGUGGAGCAGGGCUGGCGGGCACGUUAAAGGCUGUCCAUUGGCGGCAGCAGCAGCAACAUAACAGGAGCUGUCAUUUUGUCAGAAGUUUCCAACCAGAGCGACUCCAUCUUGAACAGGGGCUGGGUAAAAUGAGGCAGAGACCUGCUGGGCUGAAUUCCCAGGAGGUUAGGCCUUCGUCACAGGAUGAGACAGGAGGUCAGCACAAGAUAAAAGGUCACAAGACCCCGCUGAUAAAACAGAAUGCAGCAAAGAAACUGGUCAAAACCUGCCAAAACCAAGACAGGAAGGUGACCUCUGAUCGUCCUCACUGCUCAUUAUACGCUAAUUAUAAUGCAUUAGUAUGCUAAAGACACUCCUAGCAGCGCCAGGCAGUUUACAAAUGCCAUGGCAACGUCCAGAAGUUACCCUAUAUGGUCUAAACAGUGGAGGAACCUUCAGUUGGGGGGGAUCCCCACCCCUUUUCUGAAAAAUUCAUUACUAACCCACCCCUUGUUUAUCAUAUAAUCAAGAAAUAACCAUAAAAAUAGCCAACCUUAGGCCAGGAGCGGUGGCUUACGCCUGUAAUCCCAGCACUCUGGGAGGCUGAGGCUUGCAGAUCACCUCAAGUCAGGGGUUUGAGACCAGCCUGGCCAACAUACAGUGAAACCCCGUCUGUACUAAAAAUACAAAAGUUAGCCAGGUGCUGGGCGCGGUGGCUCACGCCUGUAAUCCCAGCACUUUGGGAGGCCAAGACGGGCGGAUACGAGGUCAGGAGAUCAAGACCCUCCUGGCUAACACGGUGAAACUCCAUCUCUACUAAAAAUACAAAAAAUUAGCCGGGCGUGUUGGCGAGCGCCUGUACUCCCAGCUACUCGGGAGGCUAAGGCAGGAGAAUGGCGUGAACCGGAGAGGCGGAGGUUGCAGUGAGCCAAGAUCACACCACUGCACUCCAGCCUGGGGGACAGAGCAAGACUCCCUCUCAAAAAAAAAAAAAAGAAAAAAAGUUAGCCAGGCUUGGUGGCACACGCCUGUAGUCCCAGCUACUUGGGAAGCUGAGGCAGGAGAAUCGCUUGAACGCUGGAGGUGGAAGUUGCAGUGAGCCAAGAUCGUGCCAUUUGCAUUCCAGCCUGGAUGACAGAGCGAGACUCCAUAUCAAAAAAACAAACAAACAAACAAAAAAAGUUGAAAGAGGCCUGGAAUCAGAUAUCAACUUUAGAUACUAGGGAAGUAUGAUUUUUUUUUUUAAUCUCAGCUCACGGGAACCUCAGCCACCCAGGUUCAAGCCAUUCUCCUGUCUCAGUCUCCUGAGUAGCUGGGAUUACAGGCACGUGCCACCAAGCCCAGUUAACCUUUGUAGGGAUGGGAUUUCACCAUGUUGUCCAGGCUGGUCUCGAACUCUUUUUUUUUCUUAAACAUUUUAUUCAUUUUAUAGAGAGAUUUCUUGUUUGCUUUUGUUCUGAUCAUUAGGAGAGUGGUUGAGGAGUAUUGAAUCCAUCACUACUUUGAUGACACAGGUAAGAGUCCAGAUUCACAUUUCCAGGUACCAGGAGUUCCCUCUAAAUGCCACAAUCAAGUCAGCCUUCAUUUACAUUUCUUUCUGCUGAACACAGCAAUGCCCAUUGGUAUCUCUGAAGCGUAAUCGCAUCUUAAGUAAAGCAGCUGUUUGGAAUUUAACACUCCCCUUCUUUUUUGUCUUAUAAACUGAACUGCAUCUACGUACUUCAUUCCACAUUCAAUCAAAGCAAGUGCAACCAGCACAGGUGCCCUUCCCAAUUCCACAACGCAAUGCACUGCAACACAGCAACCUGGCUCUUCACGAAAUUUGGUGUUUAACAGGUUUAACCAAUCAUCUACUAUCUGAUUAGGGGAUGGAGCUCCAUCAUCAAAUGGCCAAUCUAGAACGUGGAUUCCUUCUUUUUCAACUGGAGCUUUAUCAUAUGUAGCAUCACAAACUCAAACCGAAGUCGUCACUCCAUACUUCUUAAGUUCCUCUGUGAACUUGUUGAGAGUAGCAUUGGUAGGGUUGUGAGUUAUCAGAAAACACAUGUUCUCAUAGGAGAUCUCCACAGGGGCUAGACGGUUCAUUACGGCAAAUAAAAAGUGUGAGCGUGCCUGUGAGUGUGAUGGGGAAAGUGAAAAAAAAAAUCAAUAAAUCUUGAAAUGUUUAACAACAGAAAACAUUAAAAAGACCAUGAAAAUGCCUAUUAUCAAUCAGUGUUUUCUCUAUUCAACUUGUUUAUUCCUUAUGAAGCUUCUCUCUUCAAGAUAAGCAAAGUAUUUAGAAUCCACUUGAAUCCAAAUUCAAUUUGGGCCUCAAUUUCUGCAGAUGGAUACCUUCGGACUCCAAAAAACCCAACUACAUACAAAACUGAAGCAGCCUUUACUACAUUUAGGCACUAGUGAGACAAGUUAAAAGUGUAGGUCACUUUCCACUUGUUUACUUGAUGCUUAAUUUUACUGGAGUCAUUCAAAGAAAUAUGCUUGCAAUUAAAAAAAAAAACCAACUAUUUCUGAGGCCAGUCUCGGUGUCCAGAAGUCUUCAAGGCAAUGUUAAUUAUGGCACAUAGAACCUCCAAGCUCACUUGUCAGCGAAAACGCUGUGCUCAGCCUGGCAGAAAUCUGCUCUCACAUUCAGAAUCGCCAUAAAUGUGCAACGUAUAUUCCAACGAAAAACGCUGGCGAGCUGGGGACUGGGCAUUGAAGUCCGGCGGCGGCGGGAGCGAGGAGGUGCCUCUCUCCUCAGUCACCUGGGCGGCGGCGGCGGCGGCGGCUGCGGUAGCGGUGGCGGCGGCUGCGACGACUCCCCCCGAGCCUCGGCGCGCGACGCCCGGCCCGGCGGCGGC